AGUACCCAGCACAGAACUGAGACCUACUGAAGAAAGGGUACCUUCCCGGGAGGAGGGUGUACCUGUGGUUGAGAAAAAUCGUCUGGGAUUUCGGCCAGUCUCAGCCCCGCAUAGGGCUCUGCCCCGAAAGUCAUCAACUCCCACACCGUAACCCCUGACAGAGAAAGAAAUUAACUAGUUUUCUGUCGUCCUUUGAUUUCUGCCGUUCUCAGCUCCCACUCCCCGAGUUGACCCUGACUGGCCUACUCAUCUCAGAGAGGACCCGAUUACUGUCAGCCACACCAAAAUCUGCCACCUGGACCUGACUCGGAGACUUGAGCAGCACAUUCCGGAGAGCGAGGUCCCUGUGCACCAUACUGUGUUCCUCCAGACUUCCUGUGAGUUCCUCACCUUGUGCACAGUUCCAAAGACACCAGAGCCCAACACUUUAAGCUUCCUCAGCUCUGUCUCUUUGAA